GGGAGGUAGUGACAAUAAAUAACAAUACGGGGUUCUUUCGGAUCUCGUAAUUGGAAUGAGUACAAUUUAAAUCUCUUAACGAGGAACAAUUGGAGGGCAAGUCUGGUGCCAGCAGCCGCGGUAAUUCCAGCUCCAAUAGCGUAUAUUAAAGUUGUUGCAGUUAAAAAGCUCGUAGUUGAAUUUCGGGGUCAGCAGGUUGGUCGUGCCACUGGUAUGCACUGGCCUUGCUGAUUCCUCCCUCUUGAUGAGCCGUAAUGCCAUUAAUUUGGUGUUGCGGGGAAUCAGGACUGUUACUUUGAAAAAUUAGAGUGUUUAAAGCAGGCAAGCGCUUGAAUACAUUAGCAUGGAAUAAUGAAAUAGGACGUUCGAUCCUAUUUUGCUGGUUUCUAGGAUUGACGUAAUGAUUAAUAGGGAUAGUUGGG
rnacentral:rRNA from 1 species